CCUACGGGCGGCUGCAGUAGGGAAUAUUGGGCAAUGGACGAAAGUCUGACCCAGCCAUGCCGCGUGCAGGAUGACUGCCCUAUGGGUUGUAAACUGCUUUUCUAUGGGAAGAAACACUCAUACGUGUAUGAACUUGACGGUACCAUAGGAAUAAGGAUCGGCUAACUCCGUGCCAGCAGCCGCGGUAAUACGGAGGAUCCAAGCGUUGUCCGGAUUCAUUGGUGCGAAAGGGUGCGACGACGGCAUACUUGAAAUCUUGCGGCUCAACCGUAAAAUUGCCUUUGAAACUGGGAGUCUUGAGUUCGGUCGAGGUGGAUGGAAUGUGGCAUGUAGCGGUGAAAUGCUUAGAUAUGACCCAGAACACCAAUUGCGAAGGCAGUUCACUAGACCGAGACUGACGCUGAGGCACGAAAGCGUGGGGAGCGAACAGGAUUAGAUACCCUAGUAGUC
rnacentral:rRNA from 1 species